GACGAACGCUGGCGGCGUGCUUAACACAUGCAAGUCGAACGAAGUGGCGAACGGGUGAGUAUAACGUGGGUAACCUGCCCUCCUUUUUGGGAUAAGCCUUGGAAACGGGGCCUAAUACCGAACAAAGGGGGAUGGGCUCGCGGCCUAUCAGCUUGUUGGUGGGGUGAUGGCCUACCAAGGCGGUGACGGGUAGCCGGCCUGAGAGGGUGACCGGGGACAUUGGGACUGAGUUCCAGCCGAGGCGGCUAGGGGGGGCAGCAGUGGAGGGUAUUGAGCAAUGGGGGAAAGCGUGAUGCAGCGACGCCGCGUGGGGGAUGAGGGCUUUCGGGUUGUAAACCUCUUACGCUAUCGAACGAGUAGAUGGAGAAGCAGCGCCGACUAACUACGUGCCAGCCGCGGUAAUAC
rnacentral:rRNA from 1 species